GACGAACGCUGGCGGCGUGCUUAACACAUGCAAGUCGAACGAAGUGGCGGACGGGUGAGUAACGCGUAAUCAACCUGCCCUUCUGCGGGGGACAACAGUUGAAAACGACUGCUAAUACCGCAUACUGAAGGAGGGGCUUGCGUCUGAUUAGCUAGUUGGAGGGGUAACGGCCCCCCAAGGCGAGGAUCAGUAGGCGGUCUGGGAGGAUGAACGGGCACAUUGGGACCUGGAAAAGGCCCAGAAUCCUAAGGGAGGCAGCAGUGGGGAAACUUCCGCAAUGGAAGAAAGUCUGAAGGGGCAACGCCGCGUGAGGGAUGACGGCCUUCGGGUUGUAAAGCUCUGUUAAUCGGGACGCGGUACCGGAAUAGAAAGCCACGGCUAACUACGUGCCAGCAGCCGCGGUAAUUC
rnacentral:rRNA from 1 species